ensembl:lncRNA
CUGGGGAGUUUCUCUUUCAGUAUCCUAUCAUUUUGCCUUUUCAUACUGUUCAUGGGGUUCUCAAGGGAAAAAUACUUAAGUGGUUUGUCAUUAUCUUCUCCAGUGGACCACAUUCCAUCAGACCUCUCCACCAUGACCUGCCUGUCUUGGAUGGCCCCACACAGCAUGGCUUAGUUUCAUUCAGUUAUACACAGCUGUGGUCCAUGACAAGGAGCGGCCAAGAGGAGCUACCCCAUGCCUGAGGCCAGGGGCGGUGGCCAAGAUGAGCAACCCAAUGUCCAAGGAGCUGUGGCUGCACGGGCGCGGUGGGCGGAGAGGAGCUAAUCCACGUUUAAGGUCAGGAGGGGCGGCGGUGAGAAGAUACCCCUUGUCCAAGUUAAGGAGCAGUGGCUGCGCUUUGCUGGAGCAGCUGUGAAGAGAUACCCCACGUCCAAGUUGAAGAUGGAGAAGCUUUAUACACUCAGCAAAACAAGACCAAGAGUUGAGUAUGGCUCAGAUCAUGAAAUCCUAUUCAAAAAUUCAGACUUAAAUUGAAGAAUGUAGGAAAACAACUAGACCAUUCAGGUAUGACCUAAAUCAAAUACCUUAUGAUUGUACAGUGGAAGUGACAAAUAGAU